rnacentral:rRNA from 1 species
ACAUGCAGAGAACUUCCAGAGAUGGAUUGUGCCUUCGGGACUCUGACACAGGUGCUGCAUGGCUAUCGUCAGCUCGUGUCGUGAGAUGUUGGGUUAAGUCCCGUAACGAGCGCAACCCUUGUCCUUAGUUACCAGCACGUUAUGGUGGGCACUCUAAGGAGACUGCCGGUGACAAACCGGAGGAAGGUGGGGAUGACGUCAAGUCAUCAUGGCCCUUACGGCCUGGGCUACACACGUGCUACAAUGGUCGGUACAAAGGGUUGCCAAGCCGCGAGGUGGAGCUAAUCCCAUAAAACCGAUCGUAGUCUGGAUCGCAGUCUGCAACUCGACUGCGUGAAGUCGGAAUCGCUAGUAAUCGUGAAUCAGAAUGUCACGGUGAAUACGUUCCCGGGCCUU